rnacentral:pre_miRNA from 1 species
UCACAGCUUGUGACUCUGUAAUUGCAUUCUUUCUUCUGUCAGUUAUCANAGAAAGAAUGCAAUUACAGAGUCACAAGCUGUGA